rnacentral:rRNA from 1 species
UACGUAGGGGGCGAGCGUUGUCCGGAAUUAUUGGGCGUAAAGAGCUCGUAGGCGGCUUAGUAAGUCGGCGGUGAAAUACCGAGGCUCAACCUCGGCACUGCCGUCGAUACUGCUAUGGCUAGAGUCUGGUAGAGGAGAACGGAAUUCCCGGUGUAGCGGUGGAAUGCGCAGAUAGUCGGGAGGAACACCCGUAGCGAAGGCGGUUCUCUGGGCCAGUACUGACGCUGAGGAGCGAAAGCGUGGGGAGCAAACAGG